UUCUCAGGGUGGACGGACAGACC
rnacentral:piRNA from 1 species